rnacentral:rRNA from 1 species
UACGUAGGGACCAAGCGUUUGUUCGGAUUUACUGGGCGUAAAGGGCGCGUAGGCGGCGUGGUAAGUCACUUGUGAAAUCUCUGAGCUUAACUCAGAACGGCCAAGUGAUACUGCUGUGCUAGAGUGCAGAAGGGGCAAUCGGAAUUCUUGGUGUAGCGGUGAAAUGCGUAGAUAUCAAGAGGAACACCUGAGGUGAAGACGGGUUGCUGGGCUGACACUGACGCUGAGGCGCGAAAGCCAGGGGAGCAAACGGG